rnacentral:lncRNA from 1 species
ACAAAGCUUGUUGAGAUGGAUUCUGGAAUGGAUAGAUCAUUUAAAGCUUUUGGUGAAUCGUUAUCUAUAGUAAUAGCGCUUAUAUUUGGAUCAGCUGGAACAUUAAAAUUUUUUCCUUCGAUAUCACCAGAAAUCAACAAAAAAUUUGUUGCUGAGUUUAUUAAAUACGCCAAAAUUCACCCUGCCGUUAGUUAUGGCUAUGUUAUUGAUGCUAAUAAAUUCAUGGAGCUGAUUGCAGUAGUUGAAAUUAUUUGCUCUCUACUGAUUCUAUUUGGUCCUCGUAUGUUAAAGUUAUCAAGCUGUUUAGUUUUUACGUCAAUAAUUAUAGGGGCGUUGUAUUUUCUUUACACCUUAAACGAACCGUUCUUGUACUUAUUUUUAAACUCUAUGCUGCUCCUCGUGCUCUUCAUAAGAUUGCAUCUCUUUUAUUUUCCGUUCAUAAAGAAGUGCGAUCAAAACGAAAAUGAAAGCGCAACAAAGAAAGAAAAUUAAUUUUUAAAAUAUUCGUUUGUUGGUUAUCAAAUCGAUUGAAAUUUUUCAUGACUCAUAAAAAUAUUGCAAAAUCUUCCUUAAAUUAUCUACAAAAUAUCUUCACAUCUUUUUGUUUGAUACUGAACUUUACAAUUAUGUUUUAGAAAUUAGUGUUAUAUAUUUAUUAAAUGCAGCAAAAUAUUACAUUUUCCUUUAAAGUAAUUUCGGCGUUGCCGAAAGAGAUCAUAUUAAACGCUGCGACUAAGUGGAAUUAUACUUUGGUGUUUAAGAAAUGACAGAUCCAAGGGUAACGGACGAGUUAUCCACCGGUAAAACUUUCCUAUUUUUAUGUAUUUAUUAAAGUGCUCCUCCUUUUUUACAAUAUCCUUUAUUAAAAAAUUCAAGUUAAAUAAAUUCAUAAAAAAGUU